rnacentral:rRNA from 1 species
AGAGUUUGAUCAUGGCUCAGGACGAACGCCGGCGGCGUGCUUAACACAUGCAAGUCGAACGAUGAAGUGGAGCUUGCUCCACGGAUUAGUGGCGAACGGGUGAGGAACACGUGAGAAACCUGCCUCGGAUUUUGGGAUAACAAAUGGAAACGUUUGCUAAUACCAAAUAACGUCGGAGAGUCACAUGACUUUCUGACGAAAGGAAUUCCGAUUCGAGAGGGUCUCGCGGCCUAUCAGCUUGUUGGCGGGGUAAUGGCCCACCAAGGCAACGACGGGUAGCUGGUCUGAGAGGAUGGUCAGCCACACUGGGACUGAGACACGGCCCAGACUCCUACGGGAGGCAGCAGUGGGGAAUCUUGCGCAAUGGGCGAAAGCCUGACGCAGCAACGCCGCGUGCGGGAAGAAGGCUUUCGGGCUGUAAACCGCUUUCAGCAGGAACGAAAAUGACGGUACCUGCAGAAGAAGGAGCGGCCAACUAUGUGCCAGCAGCCGCGGUGAUACAUAGGCUUCAAGCGUUGUCCGGAUUUAUUGGGCGUAAAGAGUUCGUAGGCGGUCGAGUAAGUCGGGUGUGAAAAUUCUGGGCUCAACCCAGAGACGCCACCCGAUACUGCUUAACUUGAGUUCGAUAGGGGAGUGGGGAAUUCCUAGUGUAGCGGUGAAAUGCGCAGAUAUUAGGAGGAACACCGGUGGCGAAGGCGCCACUCUGGAUCGACACUGACGCUGAGGAACGAAAGCAUGGGUAGCAAACAGGAUUAGAUACCCUGGUAGUCCAUGCGGUAAACGGUGGGCACUAGGUGUGG